rnacentral:rRNA from 1 species
AUUGAACGCUAGCGGGAUGCCUUACACAUGCAAGUCGAACGGAGUGGCGAACGGGUGAGUAAUGUAUCGGAACGUGCCCAGUAGCGGGGGAUAACUACGCGAAAGCGUAGCUAAUACCGCAUACAAUUGGAGCGGCCGAUAUCGGAUUAGCUAGGUGGUGGGGUAACGGCUCACAAAGGCGACGAUCCGAAGCGGGUUUGAGAGGCAGACCAGCCACACUGUGACUGAGACACGGCCCAUACUCCUACGGUAGGCAGCAUGGGGGAAUUGUGGACAAUGGGGUAAACCCUGAUCCAGCCAUCCCGCGUGUGCGAUGAAGGCCUUCGGGUUGUAAAGCACUUUUGGCAGGACAGCGGUACCUGCAGAAUAAGCACCGGCUAACUACGUGCCAGCCGCCGCGGUAAUAC